rnacentral:rRNA from 1 species
UACGAAGGGGGCUAGCGUUGCUCGGAAUCACUGGGCGUAAAGGGUGCGUAGGCGGGUCUUUAAGUCAGGGGUGAAAUCCUGGAGCUCAAAUCCAGAACUGCCUUUGAUACUGAGGAUCUUGAGUACGGGAGAGGUGAGUGGAACUGCGAGUGUAGAGGUGAAAUUCGUAGAUAUUCGCAAGAACACCAGUGGCGAAGGCGGCUCACUGGCCCGUUACUGACGCUGAGGCACGAAAGCGUGGGGAGCAAACAGG